GUUCCAUAGCCAUUUUGGCAUUCUGUCCACCUCCAUUAAAUUUGUUGUUUUGGAAUCUCCCAAAAAGGUAGCAAUUGGAGGUGGCCAUUAGGCCAAACGGGCUCUGUGAA
rfam:Cajanus cajan Scaffold137722_1, whole genome shotgun sequence.